rnacentral:rRNA from 1 species
AGAACGAACGCUGGCGGCAGGCUUAACACAUGCAAGUCGAACGGUUGUAGCAAUACAGCAGUGGCAGACGGGUGAGUAACACGUGGGAACCUUCCUAGGGGUACGGAACAACUCAGGGAAACUUGAGCUAAUACCGUAUACGUCCGUGAGGAGAAAGAUUUAUCGCCCCUAGACGGGCCCGCGUAGGAUUAGGUAGUUGGUGAGGUAACGGCUCACCAAGCCUACGAUCCUUAGCUGAUCUGAGAGGAUGAUCAGCCACACUGGGACUGAGACACGGCCCAGACUCCUACGGGAGGCAGCAGUGGGGAAUCUUGGACAAUGGGCGCAAGCCUGAUCCAGCCAUGCCGCGUGAGUGAAGAAGGCCUUCGGUUGUAAAGCUCUUUUUACCGAGGGAACGAGUAAGUGACGGUACCUUGGAGAAUAAGCCCCGGCGAAACGUUCGUGACCAGCCAAGCCG